rnacentral:rRNA from 2 species
AACUAACAAGGAUUCCCCUAGUAACUGCGAGUGAACCGGGGAACAGCUCAAAUUUCUAAUCCGGCGGUCCUUGGCCGUCCGAGUUGUAAUCUAGAGAAGCGUCUUCCGCGCCGGACCGUGUACAAGUCUCCUGGAAGGGAGCAUCAUGGAGGGUGACAAUCCCGUCUCUGACACGGACUACCGGGGCUAUGUGAUGCGCUCUCGACGAGUCGAGUUGUUUGGGAAUGCAGCUCAAAUAGGGUGGUGAACUCCAUCUAAAGCUAAAUAUGUGCGAGAGACCGAUAGCGAACAAGUACCGUGAGGGAAAGAUGAAAAGGACUUUGGAAAGAGAGUUAAACAGUACGUGAAAUUGCUGGAAGGGAAACGCUCAAAGUUAGUCGCGUCGCCCGGGGAUCAACCCUGCUACUUCAUGGCUCGGCGUAAUUCCCGGUCCGACGGGUCAGCAUCGAUUUCCGCCGUCAGAUAAAGCCCGGUGAGGAAUGUGGCACUCUCCGGAGUGUGUUAUAGCCUCCGGCGCAGACCUGAUGGCGCCGGGAUCGAGGAAACCUUGGCUUCUUGUCAAGGAUGCUGGCAUAAUGUCUUUGAGCGACCCGUCUUGAAACACGGACCAAGGAGUCUAACAUGCCUGCAAGUGUUUGGGUGCAUUAAACCCGAGCGCGAAGUGAAAGUGAAAGUCGAGACCUCCGGACUCCGGAGUGCAACGAUGCCCGGACCUGCGCCGGUUCGGCCAAGGAUCUGCGGUAGAGCAUGUAUGUUGGGACCCGAAAGAUGGUGAACUAUGCCUGAAUAGGGUGAAGCCAGAGGAAACUCUGGUGGAGGCUCGUAGCGAUUCUGACGUGCAAAUCGAUCGGCGAAUUUGGGUAUA